rnacentral:rRNA from 2 species
CUGCGGCAGCGAACGUAUCACCCAAGACAACUUUACGGAGUUGACGAUUGACGGAGCGAAGCGACGUCAAAGCGUUCAUUAAAGUCGAGUUGGCUUAGGGAUACGUUCGUUGGGUAGGGGAGCGUUCUGUAAGCCUGUGAAGGUGUGUCGUGAGGCAUGCUGGAGGUAUCAGAAGUGCGAAUGCUGACAUAAGUAACGAUAAAGCGGGUGAAAAGCCCGCUCGCCGGAAGACCAAGGGUUCCUGUCCAACGUUAAUCGGGGCAGGGUGAGUCGACCCCUAAGGCGAGGCCGAAAGGCGUAGUCGAUGGGAAACGGGUUAAUAUUCCCGUACUUGGUGUUACUGCGAAGGGGGGACGGAGAAGGCUAUGUUGGCCGGGCGACGGUUGUCCCGGUUUAAGCGUGUAGGUGUGUGUUCCAGGUAAAUCCGGUUCACUUUAACACUGAGGCGUGACGACGAGGCACUACGGUGCUGAAGCAACAAAUGCCCUGCUUCCAGGAAAAGCCUCUAAGCAUCAGGUAACAUCAAAUCGUACCCCAAACCGACACAGGUGGUCAGGUAGAGAAUACCAAGGCGCUUGAGAGAACUCGGGUGAAGGAACUAGGCAAAAUGGUGCCGUAACUUCGGGAGAAGGCACGCUGACACGUAGGUGAAGUGAUUUACUCAUGGAGCUGAAGUCAGUCGAAGAUACCAGCUGGCUGCAACUGUUUAUUAAAAACACAGCACUGUGCAAACACGAAAGUGGACGUAUACGGUGUGACGCCUGCCCGGUGCCGGAAGGUUAAUUGAUGGGGUCAGCGCAAGCGAAGCUCCUGAUCGAAGCCCCGGUAAACGGCGGCCGUAACUAUAACGGUCCUAAGGUAGCGAAAUUCCUUGUCGGGUAAGUUCCGACCUGCACGAAUGGCGUAAUGAUGGCCAGGCUGUCUCCACCCGAGACUCAGUGAAAUUGAACUCGCUGUGAAGAUGCAGUGUACCCGCGGCAAGACGGAAAGACCCCGUGAACCUUUACUAUAGCUUGACACUGAACAUUGAGCCUUGAUGUGUAGGAUAGGUGGGAGGCUUUGAAGUGUGGACGCCAGUCUGCAUGGAGCCGACCUUGAAAUACCACCCUUUAAUGUUUGAUGUUCUAACGUGGACCCGUAAUCCGGGUUGCGGACAGUGUCUGGUGGGUAGUUUGACUGGGGCGGUCUCCUCCUAAAGAGUAACGGAGGAGCACGAAGGUUGGCUAAUCCUGGUCGGACAUCAGGAGGUUAGUGCAAUGGCAUAAGCCAGCUUGACUGCGAGCGUGACGGCGCGAGCAGGUGCGAAAGCAGGUCAUAGUGAUCCGGUGGUUCUGAAUGGAAGGGCCAUCGCUCAACGGAUAAAAGGUACUCCGGGGAUAACAGGCUGAUACCGCCCAAGAGUUCAUAUCGACGGCGGUGUUUGGCACCUCGAUGUCGGCUCAUCACAUCCUGGGGCUGAAGUAGGUCCCAAGGGUAUGGCUGUUCGCCAUUUAAAGUGGUACGCGAGCUGGGUUUAGAACGUCGUGAGACAGUUCGGUCCCUAUCUGCCGUGGGCGCUGGAGAACUGAGGGGGGCUGCUCCUAGUACGAGAGGACCGGAGUGGACGCAUCACUGGUGUUCGGGUUGUCAUGCCAAUGGCACUGCCCGGUAGCUAAAUGCGGAAGAGAUAAGUGCUGAAAGCAUCUAAGCACGAAACUUGCCCCGA